GAUGAACUCCAGGCCAAGGCCCCAACACGUAAUCGAUGGCCCUCCAUGGUUCUUACUCUUUUACAGCGAGAUGCAUCCCAAAUCUGGACUUUCCCAUUACUAGUUCCAACAGCUAGAUGUGUUCCACGCUGAGCCCAUCCCACUGAACACACACUAUCGUCAAUCCCCAAAUCACACAAUUUUGUCACCUUGCUACUACAAGCAUUCCACAAAUACACACAAUUCCCCAAACCCACUGCUAGUACAUUAUGCGAC
rnacentral:misc_RNA from 1 species